rnacentral:sRNA from 1 species
GGAAGUGGUAUCUCUCGCUUUGCAGUGAGUUCCCAUGUGAUCUCUUUUUGCAGGCAUUGAUCAUCUCCUGGCCCAGCAUGUUGCUCAUCUCUUUAUUAGAGACCCACUGACACUGUUUGAAGAGAAAAUACACCUGGAUGAUGCUAAUGAGUCUGACCAUUUUGAGAAUAUUCAGUCCACAAAUUGGCAGACAAUGAGAUUUAAGCCCCCUCCUCCAAACUCAGACAUUGGAUGGAGAGUAGAAUUUCGACCCAUGGAGGUGCAAUUAACAGACUUUGAGAACUCUGCCUAUGUGGUGUUUGUGGUACUGCUCACCAGAGUGAUCCUUUCCUACAAAUUGGAUUUUCUCAUUCCACUGUCAAAGGUUGAUGAGAACAUGAAGGUAGCACAGAAAAGAGAUGCUGUCUUGCAGGGAAUGUUUUAUUUCAGGAAAGAUAUUUGCAAAGGUGGCAAUGCAGUGGUGGAUGGUUGUGGCAAGGCCCAGAACAGCACGGAGCUCGCUGCAGAGGAGUACACCCUCAUGAGCAUAGACACCAUCAUCAAUGGGAAGGUAGGAGGGUGGCCCUGUACAGUACGCCUCACUGUGCACAUCCCCCG